CCUACGGGAGGCAGCAGUGGGGAAUAUUGCGCAAUGGGCGAAAGCCUGACGCAGCGACGCCGCGUGAGGGAUGAAGGUCUUCGGAUCGUAAACCUCUGUCAGCAGGGAAGAACGGUCACUGUGCUAAUCAGCAGUGAAUUGACGGUACCUGCAAAGGAAGCACCGGCUAACUCCGUGCCAGCAGCCGCGGUAAUACGGAGGGUGCGAGCGUUAAUCGGAAUUACUGGGCGUAAAGCGCUCGUAGGCGGUAUGUCAAGUCAAGGGUGAAAUCCCCGCGCUCAACGUGGGAACUGCCUUUGAAACUGGCAAACUGGAGUGUGUGAGAGGGUAGUGGAAUGCCAGGUGUAGGGGUGAAAUGCGGAGAUAUCUGGAGGAACAUCAGUGGCGAAGGCGACUAUCUGGCACAUAACUGACGCUGAGGAGCGAAAGCGUGGGUAGCAAACAGGAUUAGAUACCCCAGUAGUC
rnacentral:rRNA from 1 species